UGCGCCGCCAUUGACCACAGCACAUUCGGACAGGGGGUCAGCGCGGAUUCAUACCCAGCAAGAGAGGGAGAAAAGAUCGUGCGUUUCUAUUCACGGGGGCCUGGGGAAGUUGGAAGCGAACCUCCCACCGCUGGCUCGGAGAGGUGGUGGUGAUGGGGGGUGCUAACCGUAGAAGCUUCCGCUCUUGAUGGCGUCGGCGUUGGCGUCGCCGAGGGCGGCCUCGCUGAGGUACUUGUCCGCGAGCUGCACUCUCUUCACGUUCUCCUGCUCCUUCACCAGCAUGUUGCCGUACUCCAGCAGCUUCUCCAGGGUCAUGGUCGGCUUCUCGAAGGUCGGCGGCCCGUCCCGGGAGUUGACCAGCUUCUUCCCCACGUUCUCAAUCCCAAUGUCAACGAUCCACUUCCUCACCUCGUCGUCGUACACCCUGGCCCUCAGCGCCCCGAAGAAGUCUGCGCCACAGGAGCACCCACCGUCAGAGUCGCCGGCGCCGGAGGAGAAGAAGACGAAGAGCAAGGAGGAGGGGGAGGAGGAGGAGGAGGAACCCACCAAUGGACUGGCCGGGGAAGGUGUCGACGAGCUUGACGACGGCCUCCCUGGGGACGUUGUCGGUCUUGAAGAUGCCGGAGCAGACACCGAUGCGGUCGUCGCGGGUGGGCGCCCAGUAGAACUUCUCCAUGCGGCCGUCACGGAUGAGAGGGGCGUAGAGGGUGGAGAAGUCGUUGCCGGUGACGACGAUGGGGACGCGGGCGUUCUCCUGCUUGUUGUACAUGCCGGGGAGCUGGACGUUGGUGGGGUUGUCGGCGAUGUUCAUGAGGGUGGCGUUGACCAUCUGGUUGUUGACGGUGUACUGGGUGGUGCCGCCCAUACGGCCGGCCCCGGCGUCGAGAUCGUUGAUGAAGAGCGCGCACAUCUUCCCCUUCUUGAUGAUGUCGGCGGCUUCCCUGUACCUCUGCCGGAUCAGCUUCGCCGGCUCGCCGGCGUUCCCGCUCUCGAGCUCUCCCGCGCUCAUCAUGAUCGGGCUGCAAUCCCCCGGCCACAGAGGAGAAACACGUCAUCGGCAAAUACAACUACUUCUUCUUCUGAUUCUUUCUCUUGCCGGAGAAAACAACAUGGAGAAGGAGGGAGGCCGAAGCAGAGGAGACUGCACUCACUUGAUGCCCAGCUUAGCGAAGACGAGCUCGCACUGGAAGGACUUGCCUUGCCCCUUGCCUCCCCAGAUGCCGAGAAUGAGGGGAACCUGCGGGCACCCGCUCCGGCGUUAAGAUUCUCCGGCAGAGAGAGAGCGAGCGAGAGAGGGGGGGAGAGAGCGAGCGAGAGAGGGGGGAGAGAGCGAGCGAGAGAGGGAGAGAGAGAAGAGGACCUUGAUGCUGGGGAGGUUGAGGUAGUUCUUGACGAUGUGGACGACGAGCUUGUCCAUGAAGGCCCGGGCGAUGUAGAAGUCACCCAUGGUGUUGUCCAUGUUGAGCCUGAAACCGUCGUCUUUCUUCAGGAUCGAAAUGAAAGCUGAAGGAAGAGGAGGAGGAGGAGGAGGAGUUGGGUUGCGCUUACUCCUUGAGGCCCUGGCUGAGGUACUCGUAGGAGCUGAGGACGGCGUCGUGGGUGCCCUGGCCGGUGGGGGCCUGGAAGAGGGAGUCAACUAACCCCUUCCCCCUGGUGAUAUCCUGCUGGUCGUCCGACGUGUCGUAGUAGAGACCGCCCCACCUGUCCCCAGAGGUCUGCUUGUCCUCGUCGAG
rnacentral:lncRNA from 1 species